ACAAAUAUUAUUACUGUAAACGGGUUAGAGCCGGGUUGGUUAGGCGCCUCAUUUGGGUUGAGGAUAAGUUAUGUUCGAAUCAUAAUGACCCGAUUUAAUUAUUGUAAUCAUAAAGAGAAAAUUUUCUCUUUAUAUAGAUAUGUAAUCUAUUACUUUAUUCUUUAUUGUUAAAGAAUAAUAAGUAUAUAAAGAAACUAUUAGAAUUUUUCUAUAUAUCAAAGGAAAUAUCCUUAAACAAAUUAAAAUUACCUAAACUAAGUGAAUUGAAGUAUCUUAAUAACUUAAGGAAUAUAAAUCAAACGAGAUUCUAUCAAAAAUGUGAAUUGCGAUAGAUUAAAAGUAAAGUAGAUUUUUUUGUCUUACUUUUAAAGCUUAUGUUGUUUAUAGCGCCAUGUGGCGUAUGCUUUGCAUAAUAUUCAGCAUUUAAAUAAAAAAUAAAAUGGAAUAUCAUUCUAUUUGAAUAUAGGGGAACCUUCCUCUAAAGCUAAAUAUGAUAUAUAAGAUAUAGUGUAUAGUACCGUGAGGGAACAAAAAAAGUAGUUUUAUAAGCAGCUCAAUGAAUUAAAUAUUAAAGAGCGUACCUUUUGCAUAAUGGGUCAGCAAGUUAAUUUUAGAUGCAAGCAUAAUGAAAUCAUUGCCUAAAUAAAUUGAUAAGUAGUGUCUAGAAUUAGACCCGAAGCCUAGUGAUCUUACUAUAAUCAGGAAAAAUUAAAAAGUCCGAACGGAUUAUCGUAGUAAAGAUAUCCGAUGAAUUAUGGUAAGUUAGUGAAAGACAAAACUGACUAGGAUAGCUGGUUUUCUGCGAAACCUAUUUAAGUAGGUCGUUUAAUAAAUAUCUUAGUAGGUACAGUAUUUAUUCACGGUAAUUUAAAUAAAUAUUUUUAUUUAUUUUACAUAUAUUAGGGGAUCGUGAAGAUUUUACUAGAGUGUAUUAGAUCUCGGAAGGACAAAGAUAAAUAUUAAACAAUCAGACAUAGUACGAUAAGGUUGUAUGUCAAAAGGGAAACAGCCCAGAACAAGUGUUUAAGGUUCCAAAAUUAUUGUUAAGUGAAAAAGAGGAAGUUUUUUUUAUUUAUUUUAUUCGUUAUACGUUUAUAAUAAAUAAAAGGCAAAUACAAUCAGGAAAUAGGCUUAGAAGCGGCCAUUUUUUAAAGAUCUCGUAACAGAGCACUGAUCUAAUAGUUAAACUUAAAUUAAGUUUAACUAGUAAAAAGCGUCGAUGAUAUAACGGAUCUAAACAAUAUACCAAUACCUUGUAUAAAUAUACUAUAUAAACCAUAUACUAUAUUUAUAGUAGCAGAACGUAGAGUAUGUAAAAUAAUUUUAUUAGUCAAUAAAAUUAAUAUAUCUCUAGUGAUAAUGCUGGCAUGAGUAGCGAAAAGAAAAGAUAAAUCUUUCCACCUAAAGCUUAUGGAAUUUACUUUAUAACAGACUCUAAGUUUAUUUACCUAAAGGGUUAAACGAUGAAUAUAUAUAAAAUACAAACAGUUUUUAAUGAUUAAUAUACGCAGACGCUUUGCGUAUAUUAAUCAACAUUAGUUAUAAGAACUCUGGAAAUAAUUUUAUAAUAACUGUACCUAAAAUCUAACACAAGUAAGCUAGUAGAGAAUACGAAGGUGUUUGAGCUAACAAUUUUUAAGGAACUCGGCAAAUUGACUCCGUAACUUAGGGAGAAGGUGGGCCACUUUGCAUUAAAAUAAGUGCAAAAUAGGAGGCAUAGAAUGGUGUUGUACGACUGUUUAAUUAAAACAAAGCACUUUGCUAAAGAUGUAAAAUCGAAAUAUUGAGUGUGAUUUCUGCCCUAUAUCGGCUGGUUAACGAAUUUACUUAGUCAACUAAAAUAGGCUAAGUUUUGAAGGAACCCCCGAUCAAUGGCGGCCUUACCUAUAAGGGUCUUAAGGUAGCGGAAUACCUUGGCCGUUAAAUGCGGUCUUGCAUGAACGAUGUAACGAUACAACAGCUGUCUCAAAAAUUGGCUCAGCGAAAUUGGAAUAGCAGUGCAGAUACUGUUUACCUCUAGUUAGACGAGAAGACCCUAUGCAGCUUUACUGUUACUAAUUAUUAAAUAUAAUAAAACAAGUUUAAGAGUAAAAGGUAAUUGUUUAUAUAAUAAUGAAACACCUUUACUAUAGUUGAUUAUAUUCUCUAUUCUUCAAUAUAAAUAAUAUAUACAUUACGCAAAGCGUAUGUAAUAGUUUGAACGAAAACAGUUGUUAGUAGACGGUUUAUGCGGGGCACAGAUCCCAUAAAGAG
rnacentral:rRNA from 1 species